CCUCUAAGCAUCAGGUAACAUCAAAUCGUACCCCAAACCGACACAGGUGGUCAGGUAGAGAAUACCAAGGCGCUUGAGAGAACUCGGGUGAAGGAACUAGGCAAAAUGGUGCCGUAACUUCGGGAGAAGGCACGCUGAUAUGUAGGUGAAGUGGUUUACCCAUGGAGCUGAAAUCAGUCGAAGAUACCAGCUGGCUGCAACUGUUUAUUAAAAACACAGCACUGUGCAAACACGAAAGUGGACGUAUACGGUGUGACGCCUGCCCGGUGCCGGAAGGUUAAUUGAUGGGGUUAUCCGUAAGGAGAAGCUCUUGAUCGAAGCCCCGGUAAACGGCGGCCGUAACUAUAACGGUCCUAAGGUAGCGAAAUUCCUUGUCGGGUAAGUUCCGACCUGCACGAAUGGCGUAAUGAUGGCCAGGCUGUCUCCACCCGAGACUCAGUGAAAUUGAACUCGCUGUGAAGAUGCAGUGUACCCGCGGCAAGACGGAAAGACCCCGUGAACCUUUACUAUAGCUUGACACUGAACACUGGUCCUUGAUGUGCAGGAUAGGUGGGAGGCUUUGAAGCGCGGACGCCAGUUCGUGUGGAGCCAUCCUUGAAAUACCACCCUUUAAUGGCUGGUGUUCUAACGUAGACCCGUGAUCCGGGUUGCGGACAGUGUCUGGUGGGUAGUUUGACUGGGGCGGUCUCCUCCUAAAGAGUAACGGAGGAGCACGAAGGUUAGCUAAUCCUGGUCGGACAUCAGGAGGUUAGUGCAAAGGCAUAAGCUAGCUUGACUGCGAGCGUGACGGCGCGAGCAGGUGCGAAAGCAGGUC
rnacentral:rRNA from 1 species